UACAGAGGUGGCAAGCGUUGUUCGGAAUUACUGGGCGUAAAGGGCGCGUAGGCGGCCAUCUAAGUCAGACGUGAAAUCCCCCGGCUUAACCUGGGAACUGCGUCUGAUACUGGAAGGCUUGAGUAUGGGAGAGGGAUGUAGAAUUCCAGGUGUAGCGGUGAAAUGCGUAGAUAUCUGAAGGAAUACCGGUGGCGAAGGCGGCAUCCUGGACCAUUACUGACGCUGAGGCGCGAAAGCUAGGGGAGCAAACGGG
rnacentral:rRNA from 1 species